AUAGAACUACGAGUACUUCGUCGUCCGCUUAUAGUGGAGGAGAGACGUAUGUCCAGACCACAAGCAGCCAUUUGUUUUUAGAGUAUUUCUCGGAGAAAUUAAAACAGCAUUUCAAUAAUUGACGAAAAAUAAGUUAACGAGUAUUGCAUGCAAGUGAUAAACAAAGAUCUCGCAAAAACGGUUCUGCGAAAUUCGCUACAUCUGGUUGCUCAACAAAAAGCUGGAACGAAGCAUAACAGAAAUGAGCUGUAUAGUGGAGCUGCAUAUAUUCAACGAUAACACAAACUUAAUGCGAGGCGUCCCAAUACAAGGUAAAAGAAGCAACUCUCAAAAGUACAGCGAGGCUGCUUGGCCAAAGAAACAUGACAUUUUGGGUAAAUCCGUUUUUGGUACGCUGCUGCUGUACUUGGUCAUUGCCAAGUUUCGGCAGCGAUGUCGGAUGCUGCAGUUGUUGCUGUUGCUGCCGUGGUCUUCAAGCCUGUCCCAACUGCAUCGUGUUUGGGGCUGCAACCAAGUGGCAAUCGGUGAGCAUAAUUAAAGUGCCAAAGCAGGAUGGCAAUUGCCCUUAGCCGCAGCCAAUUAAGCGCGUCACGCGCUUAGCCAAAGACAGAGAACGUUGCAACACAAACAAUGGAUGCCACCAAACCAGAGGCAACGAUGGCAGCCAUGGCAAUCAUAAAGUCACUUGCCACACGGAAAUUGCAAGCUUCGGUCAGCAAUGGCACGUGGCUAAAACUAAAAGGGCGCGCGCCCCAAAAGUUUUCUACGCCGGAAAUUGCAAACUGCGGCUGUUGGCUGACUGUCUAGCGCCUGCCGCAGACAUAUUUAUUUAUUCUUGCUCCGCACUUAAAAAGCCAAUUGCAGAUGAUGUGGCAGCAUAACGAAGUCUUCAUUUCGAUGUGAUGAGGCUCAGGACGCUGAGGCACUGCACUAUGGUCCAGCCGACCACUUUACUUGGCAUUAAUACAUUUUUUAAAAGUUAAUAAUAUAUCAUCAAAGUUUCGAACGCAUUCUACAAGAAACAGACUGACUAUCAAUGUUGCAUACCAAAAAUUUGCAUAGAUGGCGCCACUUUCGAGAAAUCAGCUGUUAAAGUAAGCUGUUCGUCAACAAAAGCACGUGCAGUAGAAAAGUGCAUUUUGAGAUGUACUUUUCAAUGUUCAAUAAUUUCAAAUAAAACAUUAAUCUGAUUAAAAUUUGUGAUGAAUUCAAAUAAUUGGGGCUUG